rnacentral:lncRNA from 1 species
GACAAUUUCAUCUUUUUAGUCUUCAUGUUCCUCCUCAUGCCGACAAGAGUUUAAGAGGAGGAGAACACUCCUUUUAUCACUGCCACCUGAAACUAGAACCAGAAAGGAAGGGAAAAGAACACGGUUAUAUCACCCCCAAGGCUGUGAAUUUACUUCUUAUCGUGGGGGAAGGCCUCUGGUGGCACAUUUUAGUAAGCAAGUAGGUAGAGUCAUACACUGUGGCCGAAGGCUUCAGCUUAGACUCACGAGAGGAGCUUGAUGUGUGUGGACUGUCCCGCUGCUCACUGGGCGUUGGCCUGGCCUCAGUGGCCCUGGGUCAUAGUAUUGUGGACUUAGCAUCACCAUUGUGUGUCCGGAAUUGGUGGGUUCUUGGUCUCACUGACUUCAAGAAUGAAGCCGUCGACCCUCGCGGUGAGUGUUACAGCUCUUAAGGUGGCGCGUCUGGAGUUUGUUCCUUCUGAUGUUCGGAUGUGUUCGGAGUUUCUUCCUUCUGGUGGGCUCGUGGUCUAGCUGGCUCAGGAGUGAAGCUGCAGACCUUUGCGGUGAGUGUUACAGCUCAUAAAAGCAGUGUGGACCCAAAGAGUGAGCAGCAGCAAGAUUUAUUGCAAAGAGCGAAAGAACAAACCUUCCACAGUGUGGAAGGGGACCCCAGCAGGUUGCCACUGCUGGCUGGAGCAGCCUGCUUUUAUUCUCUUAUCUGACCCCACCCACAUCCUGCUGAUUGGUAGAGCCGAGUGGUCUGUUUUGACAGGGUGCUGAUUGGUGCGUUUACAAUCCCUGAGCUAGAUACAAAGGUUCUGCACAUCCCAAUUAGAUUAGUUAGCUACAGAGUUUCAACACAAAGGUUCUCCAAGGCCCC